GACGAACGCUGGCGGCGUGCCUAAUACAUGCAAGUAGAACGCACAGUUUAUACCGUAGCUUGCUACACCAUAAACUGUGAGUUGCGAACGGGUGAGUAACGCGUAGGUAACCUGCCUGGUAGCGGGGGAUAACUAUUGGAAACGAUAGCUAAUACCGCAUAAUAUUGAUUAUUGCAUGAUAAUUGAUUGAAAGAUGCUAUUGCAUCACUACCAGAUGGACCUGCGUUGUAUUAGCUAGUAGGUGAGGUAACGGCUCACCUAGGCGACGAUACAUAGCCGACCUGAGAGGGUGAUCGGCCACACUGGGACUGAGACACGGCCCAGACUCCUACGGGAGGCAGCAGUAGGGAAUCUUCGGCAAUGGACGAAAGUCUGACCGAGCAAUGCCGCGUGAGUGAAGAAGGGUUUCGGAUCGUAAAGCUCGGUUGUAAGAGAAGAACGGGUGUGAGAGUGGAAAGUUCACACUGUGACGGUAUCUUACCAGAAAGGGACGGCUAACUACGUG
rnacentral:rRNA from 1 species